rnacentral:rRNA from 1 species
UACGGGGGGGGCUAGCGUUGUUCGGAAUUACUGGGCGUAAAGGGCUCGUAGGUGGCCAACUAAGUCAUGCGUGAAAUCCCUCGGCUUAACCGGGGAACUGCGUCUGAUACUGGAUGGCUUGAAUCCGGGAGAGGGAUGCGGAAUUCCAGGUGUAGCGGUGAAAUGCGUAGAUAUCUGGAGGAACACCGGUGGCGAAGGCGGCAUCCUGGACCGGCAUUGACAUUGAGGAGCGAAAGCCAGGGGAGCAAACGGG